GGACGAACGCUGGCGGCGUGCUUAACACAUGCAAGUCGAGCGGUAAGGCCCUUUCGGGGGUACACGAGCGGCGAACGGGUGAGUAACACGUGGGUGACCUGCCUUUAGCUCUGGGAUAAGCCUGGGAAACUGGGUCUAAUACCGGAUAUGACUCCAUGAUGCAUGUUGUGGGGUGGAAAGCCUUGUGCGGCUGGAGAUGGGCCCGCGGCCUAUCAGCUUU
rnacentral:rRNA from 1 species